GCCCUGGAAACGGGGUCUAAUACCGGAUACGAGCCUCCACUGCAUGGUGGAGGUUGGAAAGCUCCGGCGGUGCAGGAUGAGCCCGCGGCCUAUCAGCUUGUUGGUGAGGUAACGGCUCACCAAGGCGACGACGGGUAGCCGGCCUGAGAGGGCCACCGGCCACACUGGGACUGAGACACGGCCCAGACUCCUACGGGAGGCAGCAGUGGGGAAUAUUGCACAAUGGGCGAAAGCCUGAUGCACCGACGCCGCGUGAGGGAUGACGGCCUUCGGGUUGUAAACCUCUUUCAGCAGGGAAGAAGCGAGAGUGACGGUACCUGCAGAAGAAGCGCCGGCUAACUACGUGCCAGCAGCCGCGGUAAUACGUAGGGCGCAAGCGUUGUCCGGAAUUAUUGGGCGUAAAGAGCUCGUAGGCGGCUUGUCACGUCGGUUGUGAAAGCCCGGGGCUUAACCCCGGGUCUGCAGUCGAUACGGGCAGGCUAGAGUUCGGUAGGGGAGAUCGGAAUUCCUGGUGUAGCGGUGAAAUGCGCAGAUAUCAGGAGGAACACCGGUGGCGAAGGCGGAUCUCUGGGCCGAUACUGACGCUGAGGAGCGAAAGCGUGGGGAGCGAACAGGAUUAGAUACCCUGGUAKUCCACGCCGUAAACGGUGGGCACUAGGUGUGGGCAA
rnacentral:rRNA from 1 species